GACGAACGCUGGCGGCGUGCCUAAUACAUGCAAGUCGAACGCAGUGGGGACGGGUGAGUAACACGUGGGUAACCUCCCAUCAGAGGGGAUAACACUUGGAAACAGGUGCUAAACCGAUAUUGAUGGAUGGACCCGCGGUGCAUUAGCUAGUUGGUGGGGUAACGGCUCACCAAGCCGACGAUCUCUGGCUGGUCUGAGAGGAUGACCAGCCAAACGGGGACUGAGACACGGCCCAGACUCCUACGGGAGGCAGCAGUGGGGAAUAUUGCGCAAUGGGGGCAACCCUGACGCAGCCAUGCCGCGUGAAUGAAGAAGGCCUUCGGGUUGUAAAGUUCUUUCGGUAGCGAGGCGUUAACUACAGAAGAAGCACCGGCUAACUCCGUGCCAGCAGCCGCGGUAAUUC
rnacentral:rRNA from 1 species